rnacentral:rRNA from 1 species
CCUACGGGAGGCAGCAGUGAGGAAUAUUGCUCAAUGGGCGAAAGCCUGACGCAGCGACGCCGCGUGAGGGAUGAAGGUCUUCGGAUCGUAAACCUCUGUCAGCAGGGAAGAACGGUCACUGUGCUAAUCAGCAGUGCAUUUACGGUACCUGCAAAGGAAGCAUCGGCUAACUCCGUGCCAGCAGCCGCGGUAAUACGGAGGAGCCGAGCGUUAAUCGGAAUUACUGGGCGUAAAGCGCUCGUAGGCGGUAUGUCAAGUCAAGGGUGAAAUCCCCGCGCUCAACGUGGGAACUGCCUUUGAAACUGGCAAACUGGAGUGUGUGUGAGGAUAGUGGAAUGCCAGGUGUAGGAGUGAAAUCCGUAGAUAUCUGGAGGAACAUCAGUGGCGAAGGCGACUAUCUGGCACAUAACUGACGCUGAGGAGCGAAAGCGUGGGUAGCAAACAGGAUUAGAUACCCGAGUAGUC